GUGGAGGAGAUUUGCCUGCUGUUGCUCCAGUUGUAACCUAGAAUGGGAAGGAUGCAAUGUGCUGGCUUGCCUUUCACCAGCCUGCUGCCCUGUAGGAGCCCAGCGUGGCACAGCCGCCAGUCAGCGAUGGUUCCCACUCUUCUCUGUGCUCCUCACCUGCGGAUGGACCCUGCUCACAGCACUUCAGCAAUUUGGCAUGAGAAGGCCAGGGCGAGGAUCCAGGCCAGCUCUCCUGCUCUGCAGGCCUGUGCUGUCCCCGGGGAAGAGUCCUCCUGCUGCACUGGCUGCUGCUGACCUUGCAGGGGACAUGGAAUCGCUGGCUGUCACAGCACCAGAGGGAGCGGGUGCAACAGCAUCACCAGCCGAGGUGGAAGCAGUAGAAGAAGCAGCGGCACCAGGGGAGGUGCAAAGUCCAGAGGGAGCAGCUUUACAUGGAAAAGUGGUCACCCCUGGAGGAGGAGCAGCGGUGACAGCGGUAGAAGCACCAGAAAACUUGGAGGCAGAAAGAGUUGCUGAAGCAUUUGCCCGGGCAGCAGAAAGGAUAGCAAAAUCAGAAGUAGCCAAGGUUUUGCAAUCAGCAAUAGCUGAGCUCAAAGAGAAGAGGAGGAGUGCUUGGCUAAAGCCGAGGAACAACACUCAACAGGAGGAGGAAGAUUGGGUGAAAGAUGGAGAGCAGGGAAUGGGAAAGGUCUCUCCAUCCAGACUGAUAAUAGUGAAAUGCAGAACAGAAGCUCAGAAGAAAUUCAAGAAAUGGC
rnacentral:lncRNA from 1 species